AUUGAACGCUGGCGGCAUGCUUUACACAUGCAAGUCGAGCGGCAGCGCGGGGGCAACCCUGGCGGCGAGCGGCGAACGGGUGAGUAAUGCAUCGGAACGUACCCUGGAGUGGGGGAUAACGCCGCGAAAGCGGCGCUAAUACCGCAUAUGCUCUGAGGAGGAAAGUGGGGGACCGCAAGGCCUCACGCUCUGGGAGCGGCCGAUGUCCGAUUAGCUAGUUGGUGAGGUAAAGGCUUACCAAGGCGACGAUCGGUAGCUGGUCUGAGAGGAUGAUCAGCCACACUGGGACUGAGACACGGCCCAGACUCCUACGGGAGGCAGCAGUGGGGAAUUUUGGACAAUGGGGGCAACCCUGAUCCAGCCAUGCCGCGUGAGUGAAGAAGGCC
rnacentral:rRNA from 1 species